UAGGGAAUCUUCGGCAAUGGACGGAAGUCUGACCGAGCAACGCCGCGUGAGUGAAGAAGGUUUUCGGAUCGUAAAGCUCUGUUGUAAGAGAAGAACGAGUGUGAGAGUGGAAAGUUCACACUGUGACGGUAUCUUACCAGAAAGGGACGGCUAACUACGUGCCAGCAGCCGCGGUAAUACGUAGGUCCCGAGCGUUGUCCGGAUUUAUUGGGCGUAAAGCGAGCGCAGGCGGUUAGAUAAGUCUGAAGUUAAAGGCUGUGGCUUAACCAUAGUACGCUUUGGAAACUGUUUAACUUGCGUGCAAGAGGGGAGAGUGGAAUUCCAUGUGUAGCGGUGAAAUGCGUAGAUAUAUGGAGGAACACCGGUGGCGAAAGCGGCUCUCUGGCUUGUAACUGACGCUGAGGCUCGAAAGCGUGGGGAGCAAACAGGAUUAGAUACCCUGGUAGUCCACGCCGUAAACGAUGAGUGCUAGGUGUUAGACCCUUUCCGGGGUUUAGUGCCGUAGCUAACGCAUUAAGCACUCCGCCUGGGGAGUACGACCGCAAGGUUG
rnacentral:rRNA from 1 species